CCUACGGGCGUCAGCAGUGAGGACUAUUGGUCAAUGGGCGGAAGCCUGAACCCGCCAAGUAGCGUGCAGGAUGACGGCCCUACGGGUUGUCAACUGCUUUUAUACGGGAAUAACGCGCCUUACGUGUAGGGCUUUGCAUGUACCGUAUGAAUAAGGACCGGCUAAUUCCGUGCCAGCAGCCGCGGUAAUACGGACGGUCCGGGCGUUAUCCGGAUUUAUUGGGUUUAAAGGGAGCUUAGGCCGCAUGUCAAGCGUGCUGUGAAAUGUCCGGGCUAAACCCGGGCCUUGCAGCGCGCACGGGCGUGCUUGAGUCCGCGGAAAGCAGGCGGAAUUCGUCGUGUAGCGGUGAAAUGCUUAGAUAUGACGAAGAACCCCGAUUGCGAAGGCAGCUUGCUGCAGCGGAACUGACGCUGAUGCUCGAAAGCGCGGGUAUCGAACAGGAUUAGAUACCCUUGUAGUC
rnacentral:rRNA from 1 species